UACGAAGGGGGCUAGCGUUGCUCGGAAUCACUGGGCGUAAAGGGUGCGUAGGCGGGCAGGUAAGUCAGUGGUGAAAUCUCCGGGCUUAACCCGGAACUGCCGUUGAUACUAUCUGUCUUGAAUAUCGUGGAGGUAAGCGGAAUAUGUCAUGUAGCGGUGAAAUGCUUAGAUAUGACAUAGAACACCCAUUGCGAAGGCAGCUUACUACACGAUCAUUGACGCUGAGGCACGAAAGCGUGGGGAGCAAACAGG
rnacentral:rRNA from 1 species